UACGGAGGGUGCAAGCGUUAUCCGGAUUCACUGGGUUUAAAGGGAGCGUAGGAGGGCAGGUAAGUCAGUGGUGAAAUCUUCGAGCUUAACUCGGAAACUGCCGUUGAUACUAUCUGUCUUGAAUACCGUGGAGAUGAGCGGAAUAUGUCAUGUAGCGGUGAAAUGCUUAGAUAUGACAUAGAACACCAAUUGCGAAGGCAGCUCGUUACACGAAUAUUGACUCUGAGGCUCGAAAGCGCGGGGAUCAAACAGG
rnacentral:rRNA from 1 species